GAGGUCCCGCCUGCCCUGUGAUCAUGUAUUUAACGGCCGCGGUAUUUUGACCGUGCAAAGGUAGCGCAAUCACUUGUCUUUUAAAUGGAGACCUGUAUGAAUGGCAUAACGAAGGUCUAGCUGUCUCCCCUUUCCAGUCAAUGAAAUUGAUCUCCCCGUGCAGAAGCGGGGGUAAAAGCAUAAGACGAGAAGACCCUGUGGAGCUUUAGACCCAAGGACAGAUCAUGUCAACAACGCCCGCCCCCCAAGAAGCUAGAACUAAUUGAAAUCUGUCCCACUGUCUUUAGUUGGGGCGACUGCGGAGUAAUAAUUAACCCCCGCGCAGAAUGAAAGGACCACCUCUUUAAAGCAAAGACCUACACCUCUAACUAGCAGAACAUCUGACUGAAUAUGAUCCGGUACAACCGAUCAACGAACCGAGUUACCCCAGGGAUAACAGCGCAAUCCUCUUCAAGAGCCCCUAUCGACAAGAGGGUUUACGACCUCGAUGUUGGAUCAGGACACCCUAGUGGGGCAGCCGCUACUAAGGGUUCGUUUGUUCAACGAUUAAAGUCCUAC
rnacentral:rRNA from 1 species